AACGAACGCUGGCGGCAGGCCUAACACAUGCAAGUCGAGCGAGGACUUCGGUCCUAGCGGCGGACGGGUGAGUAACGCGUGGGAACGUGCCCUUUGCUUCGGAAUAGCCCUGGGAAACUGGGAGUAAUACCGGAUGAGCCCUUUGGGGGAAAGAUUUAUCGGCGAAGGAUCGGCCCGCGUUGGAUUAGGUAGUUGGUGGGGUAAUGGCCUACCAAGCCGACGAUCCAUAGCUGGUUUGAGAGGAUGAUCAGCCACACUGGGACUGAGACACGGCCCAGACUCCUACGGGAGGCAGCAGUGGGGAAUCUUAGACAAUGGGGGAAACCCUGAUCUAGCCAUGCCGCGUGAGCGAUGAAGGCCUUAGGGUUGUAAAGCUCUUUCAGCUGGGAAGAUAGUGACGGUACCAGCAGAAGAAGCCCCGGCUAACUCCGUG
rnacentral:rRNA from 1 species